UGACAGCCGCCGAGGUAAUACAGAGGGUCCAAGCGUUGUCCGGAUUUAUUGGGCGUAAAGCGUCUGUAGGUUGUUUGUUAAGUCCGAAGUGAAAGAAUGGAGCUCAACUCCAUAUACGCUUUGGAAACUGGCAAGCUAGAGAAUGUUAGAGGUAAGUGGAAUUCCUAGUGUAGCGGUGAAAUGCGUAGAUAUUAGGAAGAACACCAGAGGCGAAGGCGGCUUACUGGAACAUUUCUGACACUGAGAGACGAAAGCAUGGGGAGCGAAAGGGAUUAGAUA
rnacentral:rRNA from 1 species